rnacentral:rRNA from 1 species
GACGAACGCUGGCGGCGUGCCUAAUACAUGCAAGUCGAGCGCAGGAAACUGACGGAACUCUUCGGAGGGAAGGCAGUGGAAUGAGCGGCGGACGGGUGAGUAACACGUAAGGAACCUGCCUCAAGGAUUGGGAUAACUCCGAGAAAUCGGAGCUAAUACCGGAUAGUUCAUCGGACCGCAUGGUCCGUUGAUGAAAGGCGCUCCGGCGUCACCUUGAGAUGGCCUUGCGGUGCAUUAGCUAGUUGGUGGGGAAACGGCACACCAAGGCGACGAUGCAUAGCCGACCUGAGAGGGUGAUCGGCCACACUGGGACUGAGACACGGCCCAGACUCCUACGGGAGGCAGCAGUAGGGAAUCUUCCACAAUGGACGAAAGUCUGAUGGAGCAACGCCGCGUGAGUGAUGAAGGUUUUCGGAUCGUAAAACUCUGUUGUAAGGGAAGAACACGUACGAGAGGGAAUGCUCGUACCGUGACGGUACCUUACGAGAAAGCCACGGCUAACUACGUGCCAGCAGCCGCGGUAA